AGAUUGAACGCUGGCGGCAUGCCUUACACAUGCAAGUCGAACGGCAGCGCGGGGCAACCUGGCGGCGAGUGGCGAACGGGUGAGUAAUAUAUCGGAACGUACCCUGGAGUGGGGGAUAACGCAGCGAAAGUUGCGCUAAUACCGCAUACGAUCUAAGGAUGAAAGCAGGGGACCGCAAGGCCUUGUGCUCCUGGAGCGGCCGAUAUCUGAUUAGCUAGUUGGUGGGUAAAAGCCUACCAAGGCAUCGAUCAGUAGCUGGUCUGAGAGGACGACCAGCCACACUGGAACUGAGACACGGUCCAGACUCCGUACGGGAGCAGCGAGUGGGGAAUUUGGACAAGUGGGCGACAAGCC
rnacentral:rRNA from 1 species